rnacentral:rRNA from 1 species
AUUGAACGCUGGCGGCAGGCCUAACACAUGCAAGUCGAACGGUAACAGGAAACAGCUUGCUGUUUCGCUGACGAGUGGCGGACGGGUGAGUAAUGUCUGGGAAACUGCCUGAUGGAGGGGGAUAACUACUGGAAACGGUAGCUAAUACCGCAUAACGUCGCAAGACCAAAGAGGGGGACCUUCGGGCCUCUCGCCAUCGGAUGUGCCCAGAUGGGAUUAGCUAGUAGGUGGGGUAACGGCUCACCUAGGCGACGAUCCCUAGCUGGUCUGAGAGGAUGACCAGCCACACUGGAACUGAGACACGGUCCAGACUCCUACGGGAGGCAGCAGUGGGGAAUAUUGCACAAUGGGCGCAAGCCUGAUGCAGCCAUGUCGCGUGUAUGAAGAAGGCCUUCGGGUUGUAAAGUACUUUCAGCGGGGAGGAAGGGAGUAAAGUUAAUACCUUUGCUCACUGACGUUACCCGCAGAAGAAGCACCGGCUAACUCCGUGCCAGCCGCCGCAGUAA